rnacentral:sRNA from 1 species
GUGUGGUGGGGGUGCUCCACCGUGGAGCUGGUCGGCAUCCACAGCCACCCAGACGCUGCCAGAGCCCAGGCCUGCGCCACGCCCUGCCCAGAGGCACACCUGCCUGCUCAAGGCAACCAGGGCAGGCUCAAGGCAGCCAGGGCCAGCUCACUGUGUGCCUGUCACUGUGUGAAGCCUGCUUCUUCUUUAUUCCGCUUAGCAAGUGAGGCAGGAGCAUGUAAAGCUGCUGGCAGAGGAAUAUCUAAUUUACCUCCUAAAUGGCUCUACUUUGAACCUGCUGGGCAAGGAAGAGAUUUUCAAGGAAACCAUAUACCGUGUGCGAGCUCCUGCCGGCCAACCCCAGACCCCAGCACGGAGCCAGGCGCCUGUGCCCGCCGACCCUCAGCACCCUCCUCAGAAAGGCUGGUGGCAUCAGGAAGCCCCUGGCCAGCCUCCACCUGAGCCCAGUGAGCUCAGCUUUAAGGAUGGAGUCAGGCAGGGGGUCCUCAACCCCUCCAGGACCCAUUGCUGCCCUAGGGAUGCCAGACACUGGGCCUGGCAGUUCCUCCCUAGGGAAGCUUCAGGCGCUCCCUGUUGGGCCCAGAGCCCACUGUGGGGACCCUGUCAGCCUGGCUGCAGCAGGGGAUGGCUCUCCAGACACAGGCCCCACGGGAGAGCUGAGUGGUAGCUUAAAGAUCCCCAACCGGGACAGCGGGAUUGACAGUCCAUCCUCCAGUGUGGCUGGAGAGAACUUUCCCUGCGAGGAGGGCUUGGAGGCUGGCCCAAGCCCCACUGUACUGGGGGCGCACGCAGAGAUGGCCCUGGACAGCCAGGUCCCAAAGGUCACCCCCCAGGAGGAGGCGGACAGCGACGUGGGUGAGGAACCUGACUCUGAGAACACCCCCCAGAAGGCUGACAAGGAUGCCGGCCUGGCCC